CCUGCCUUUAGAGGUGUUACAGCUGCGUCACAUGUGCAUCAUCAGUAGGUGAUAGAGAGGAGAGAUGCUAUGUCUAAGCUCAGUGUUCUGACCCGUAAACGUCUGAAUGAUUAGUAGCCUAACAUU